UACGUAGGGUGCAAGCGUUAAUCGGAAUUACUGGGCGUAAAGCGUGCGCAGGCGGUUUUUGUAAGACUGUCGUGAAAUCCCCGGGCUUAACCUGGGAAUGGCGAUGGUGACUGCAAGGCUAGAGUUUGGCAGAGGGGGGGUAGAAUUCCACGUGUAGCAGUGAAAUGCGUAGAGAUGUGGAGGAACACCGAUGGCGAAGGCAGCCCCCCUGGGUCAAAAACUGACGCUCAUGCACGAAAGCGUGGGGAGCAAACAGG
rnacentral:rRNA from 1 species